rnacentral:rRNA from 1 species
UACGGGGGGGGCAAGCGUUGUUCGGAAUUACUGGGCGUAAAGGGCUCGUAGGCGGCCAACUAAGUCAGACGUGAAAUCCCCAGGCUCAACCUGGGAACUGCGUCUGAUACUGGAUGGCUUGAAUCCGGGAGAGGGAUGCAGAAUUCCAGGUGUAGCGGUGAAAUGCGUAGAUAUCUGGAGGAACACCAAUGGCGAAGGCAGCACUCUGGGACGUGACUGACGCUGAGACGCGAAAGCGUGGGGAGCAAACAGG